GUGAGGAAUAUUGGACAAUGGGCGCAAGCCUGAUCCAGCCAUGCCGCGUGCAGGAAGACGCAUCUAUGGUGUGUAAACUGCUUUUGUACGGGAAGAAACACUCCCUCGUGAGGGAGCUUGACGGUACCGUAAGAAUAAGGAUCGGCUAACUCCGUGCCAGCAGCCGCGGUAAUACGGAGGAUCCAAGCGUUAUCCGGAAUCAUUGGGUUUAAAGGGUCCGUAGGCGGUUUAAUAAGUCAGUGGUGAAAGCCCAUCGCUCAACGAUGGAACGGCCAUUGAUACUGUUAGACUUGAAUUACAAGGAAGUAACUAGAAUAUGUAGUGUAGCGGUGAAAUGCUUAGAUAUUACAUGGAAUACCAAUUGCGAAGGCAGGUUACUACUUGUGGAUUGACGCUGAUGGACGAAAGCGUGGGGAGCAAACAGGAUUAGAAACCCGUGUAGUCC
rnacentral:rRNA from 1 species